GACCCACUCAGUGCCAGGAAUAACCCAAGUUCUCAUCAACGUGGAAAGAAACUGGCCAGCAACCUAGCUUAAAAGAUCCUCACAUACUGCAGCGAUGACUCUGUGAGCAGACCAAGGAAAGAGAAGCCGCAGGAGCUGGAGAGCAGCUGAGCUAUUCUCUCCUUAACGUGGAUGUGGUCCAAGGAAUGGAAUUCCAAAAUUGGUUACUCCAUCUAUUGACUUUAAAUGUGAUCCAGCUGCUACUAAGUUUAUGGCUCAUGAAUGAUAAACUCAAGAGGCAGCUAUAACCAGGACUUGGAACAUGCAAACAUGAAAGACACAAGAAAUCCUCAGUCCAAUUUACCAUAUUUCUUUAAAAAUAGAAAACUGAUGCCAUCUUGUGGUUAUUUUAAUAAGGUCACUCUUAAACGACUAAAAUUUUGCAAGGCUAACAAAAUCUCUUCUUCCUUUCUCCUUUAAAAUAUUGUUAAAUCUAUUUUCCCUGGACUUUAGAUGUACUUUCCUUAUAAUCUGGAGAUUUCGUUAAAAUGCUGCAUCUACCCACAUGGAAACACAAUUACUAUUAAAGUAUUAAUGAUAAGUGAUUGCUAACCAUGGAAAAUCACCAAGCAAUUUUCAUAGUUCUAGAAAAUGCAUGACCUGGCUUUCAAGAACUGAGUUCAGUGCAUGUUAAAAGGGAGGAUUUUCAUUAAAAUGGUGACAUGGACACAUGGGUUCCCCCUUCCUGGGAACUGCAGAACAGACCAAAGAAAUUGAGCAAAAAGGAGACAAGCUUACAAAAAUGCUGGAGACUGGAGGCGGUACCAUUCAUAUCUCACAAAUUUUGGAGAGUUUCUUCCAGAUAGAAUUAAGAGGAAAUCAGAUUUUUAAAAUGAUCCCAUGGACUACUCAUAAUUGCUGGGAUAAAUGGUGCAGGCAAGUCCUCUAAACAUGACUAGAUAGAUGCAUUUGUUUUAUCCACAGAUUCCCAUUAUCAUUAAAAGAAUGUAUAUAUCAGUCCUCAAAAGUAUGCUUUCUUAGCCAAAAUUACCAAUGGUAAUUUACAUAUAUGAAUACAAAAUACAUUAACAUGAAAAGAGAUACUGUUAAUAUAUUCUUCUGAAAUGAUAAAUAAAAUAACAAAAUAUAUCCAUAUGACACCUAUAGACGUAUGCAUGGCUUGUAUGUGGGAGGCGUGGAUGAGGAUAGAGAAUGACUUGGGUAUGAGACUUUUAAAAUACAGUUUGACUAAAUCAAACAGCUCAGAACCACUCCCAUGGAACACAGAAACUGAACAGACCUUUCACUAUCCCAAAAUAUUACUGAACUGCUCCCUACCCUGAGUCUCCCA